CGUGCGUUGCCCCUUGGGAUUCCUGAGAGUAUG
rnacentral:rRNA from 1 species